GUAGGGGGCAAGCGUUGUCCGGAUUUAUUGGGCGUAAAGAGCGUGUAGGCGGCCAGGUAGGUCCGUUGUGAAAACUCGAGGCUCAACCUCGAGACGCCGAUGGAAACCAUCUGGCUAGAGUCCGGAAGAGGAGAGUGGAAUUCCCGGUGUAGCGGUGAAAUGCGCAGAUAUCGGGAAGAACACCCGUGGCUAAGGCGGCUCUCUAGUACGGUACUGACGCUGAGACGCGAAAGCGUGGGGAGCGAACAGGAUUAGAUACCCUGGUAGUCCACGCCGUAAACGAUGGGUGCUAGGUGUGGGAGGUGUCGACUCCUCCUGUGCCGAAGCUAACGCAUUAAGCACCCCGCCUGGGGAGUACGGCCGCAA
rnacentral:rRNA from 1 species